rnacentral:rRNA from 1 species
UCCUACGGGAGGCAGCAGUAGGGAAUCUUCGGCAAUGGACGGAAGUCUGACCGAGCAACGCCGCGUGAGUGAAGAAGGUUUUCGGAUCGUAAAGCUCUGUUGUAAGAGAAGAACGAGUGUGAGAGUGGAAAGUUCACACUGUGACGGUAUCUUACCAGAAAGGGACGGCUAACUACGUGCCAGCAGCCGCGGUAAUACGUAGGUCCCAAGCGUUGUCCGGAUUUAUUGGGCGUAAAGGGAGCGCAGGCGGUCAGGAAAGUCUGGAGUAAAAGGCUAUGGCUCAACCAUAGUGUGCUCUGGAAACUGUCUGACUUGAGUGCAGAAGGGGAGAGUGGAAUUCCAUGUGUAGCGGUGAAAUGCGUAGAUAUAUGGAGGAACACCAGUGGCGAAAGCAGCUCUCUGGUCUGUCACUGACGCUGAGGCUCGAAAGCGUGGGUAGCGAACAGGAUUAGAUACCCUGGUAGUCCACGCCGUAAACGAUGAGUGCUAGGUGUUAGGCCCUUUCCGGGGCUUAGUGCCGGAGCUAACGCAAUAAGCACUCCGCCUGGGGAGUACGACCGCAAGGUUGAAACUCAAAGGAAUUGACGGGGGCCCGCACAAG